rnacentral:lncRNA from 1 species
AAACUAAAUCUUUUGUUCACCAGCUGCUCAGCUUUUCAGUCUGGGUCUGAGCUGAAACCUGCUGCAAGUCUGACGGUACCAAAUUACAUAUAUAUCUGUCAAAAUGAUGUAGGACCUAAAGUCUCUCUGUAAGUUGAUCCUUUUGACCCCAUGAUUAGGAGCUUCACAAUGUGGUACCACACCUGGAAACCUCCAGAACAAGAUCUCAAGGAAACACAGGAAAUUCCUGAAACAGCAAAACCCCCUAUGUGAAGACGUCUGUUAUUCCUUUGUGUAUCAGGAGCAUCACUGUUAAUUAACUGUUGAUACACUUAAAACAGCUUGGUUGGCAAUGUCCUUUUUGAAUAAAGAAGAGCCAGGUGUGUUUUUCAGGAUGAACUAGACAAUGCUGUCACAAGUUUACCUCUACAUCUUAUUGCCUUGGAAAAAUUUCCUGCAUAUCGUGGCACAAGAUGGUUGGCUCUCCAGGCAGCAGUUGGCGUUGUGAAUCAGUCAUCUCAGCAUGUGUCUCCAAGAUCCCACAGCAGGGGGAAAAAGAGGUGGAGGGUCACAUGCCUGGUGUUACAUACUUUGAGGCAGAGGUGGUAGGUGCCAUUUCUGCUCACAGCUCAUGGACCAGAACAAAGCCAUGCAUACCUGAGAGAGGACCAGAAAAUAUUCUGAAGCAGAUGGCUAUUUGGUGAGCAGUAAAUGUUUCUGUUACAACAGGUCUUGACAAACUUCAAAUGUACUCCUACUAGGCCUACUUCACACCACUAAACUCUGUACUUCCUGUUGCUUGAUGGCAUCUUAUGCUGAUGUUUUCUAUCAUAGUGUCCGGCACAAAACAAGAGCUCAAUACAUAUACUUAAUAGCGCAUUUAGAUCUAAGAGUUUCACUUUAUCAAAAGAUUUUAGUACCUACGUAGCUAUUGGGCCACAUCAGGAAAAUGUAACUGCUUCUACAACUGCAAAGAAAAUUUAACUAAUUGUAUGCUCAUCCCAGCUUCAGGUUUUUGUUUUGUUUUGUUUGCUAGCUUCUUUUUAUUUCAUAAUUUUUGCUUUGUUUUCUGCCCUUGAGCAGAGGUUCAUUUCUAGUUUUCACUGGAAUUAGAACAACAGUUGUGUCCAUAUGCAAUAACAGUGUUUCAAAUUCUUUGGGGAUUUGCCCACAGUGUCUGCAGUCAUAUUGUGACACCAGUUGUGAUGCCAGUCUCUGUAAAUCAGACUUAUUCCCAGUGAGACAUUAUAUAUUUUUGCAGCCAAUACGAUCUAUUUUAUAGCGAUUUAUAGCAUUGUCUCUGAAAAGGAUACUUUGAUUUGUGUCUUGUUUUUGUCAGUUUUCAACACUUUGAUUGUGGCCCAGGUUAAUUAAUAUUUUGUGUCUAGGUUUCCUCAUCUCUAAAAUAAAGAUGUUUAUUUCUAUAGCUUCAUGUUGACAAUUAAAUUAUAUAAUUUAUGUUACUCAACUAGCAAGUAAAUUGAUGUACAGUGUAUUUAUAAAUGAUAGAUACUAUCUUUAUGUUAAUUUUUAUUAUUGUCAUCAUUAUCAUCAAUUUUCAGGUCCGUGUUCUGACUAAAAGGAAGCCACACUCUGUCGAAAACAAGCUUUGUAAGAAAAUUUUGAAGUAUUUACUUAUAUCUAACCAUUCAUUCCACCUUUUCUCCCAAAUAACACUCUAAUAUCUUGAGACAUCUUGUCUAGGGCCAGAUUUCAUAAAUGCUUGUGAGGCAGGAGAAUAAGUUCCAGAGGCAGUUCACACUGCCUAAAGCCAAUUCACACUGACUUCCUAUAACUAAAUCUAAAGGAAAAUCUCAACUUUCCUCGCCCAAGUAACAAAAGAAUCAGAGGUUAUACUCCCUUUGCAACCUGCCCCUUUUCUGCCUGGCAGAUGAAAAAUGAAAAGUACCUAUGACUGGUCCCCUCCCACGACCAGCCAGACUGGUCACGGAUCACUACUUCAUUUACAUAGGGCGUAAACCGAGUAACCAAUGGGAAACCUCUAGAGGGUAUUUAAACCCCAGAAAAUUCUGUAACCGGUGGUCUCCAGCAGGUUGCUCAAUCUUGCUGCCACUCUGUGGGAUGUACUUUUGUUUCAAUAAAUCUGUGCUCUUCCUU